AUAUUGGGGGAUGUAUGUGCAGCAUAUUUGGGGGGGCAGUGUAUUAUAUUUGUGGGCUGUGCGUUAGAUGUGGAGCUGUGCACCACGUGUGGCCUGUGUGUUAGAUGUGUACAACCCUAAUUUAACAAAUACUACGAAACUGCAGCCAUCUCGUCACUUGGAGAAGGAUGAGAAGCUGCCCCCAGCCAGAGGGACACACCUGCCACCAGAUCCGUCGCUCACUGGAUUCUGUAAUCACCGUCUGCUGUCAUGUUCUCCUAUGGAACACAAAGUACCUGAAGUGGAAUGAAGAAGCCCGUGUUUGAGGCCUGCGCCCUGGCGGGAGCAUUGAAGGGGCAUCUGACACGUGACGAGCUGCUCCAGCAUUGUGUACUGUGAUCACCGCGAGUUCAGAGGUCGGCAACCAUAGCCGUCCACAUGCUGUGAAUUACAUCUCCCAUCAUGCUGGUUACACAACGCGUUGCUGAUCUAUCCAGGAUGGCUUCAGGAUGGACUAUAAGAAGGAGGUUCAGUCCCGAUUGGGUCCGGCGCAACCUCAGGGAGUACAUAUACAGCGGCCUUGGUUUACGGCGACGCACAAUGGCACAAAGAAGAACUAAGAGCAGCACUCUGGAGACUGAACAACCUCCUGAUCCGGAAAAUGAAUGGAUCGCCAACGCCAGACCUCCUGUCCCUCAUGCAUCUGCUUGGGAGAAUCCGGGUCCCCUACCGGAUCCCUCUGCUCAACAGAGGCUCUUAGGUUGACAUCCAAAUUUAAGAGCCCUGCUGAGCAUGCAGAGAUCCGGUAGGCCAAAGCAAAAUGAUUAUGUGGACCGUGUAGAGGUUGUUUCCAACACUGUAGAAGGUUUGGACGAACAUCAGAAGGAGUUUAGUGCUGCCUUGAUUCGCCGCUGGGAGGGAGCAGAGUCGGCGUUCCAAUGCAGCCCUAACUACCAUUAUGGGGUAAGCAUAAUCAAUUUGGUGGACUCAAUGACGCCCGAGCAGUUGCAUGAGUUUAAUAUCAUGCUUAGAGAAUGUGUCACAGAAAUUGGCCACGGCCCCCACAACCCCAUCCCACACCAGUGACCAUUACCGACAACCUUCCCAUUCCCAGCCCCCGGGCAUGUGUUCCCUUCUGUCUCUUUUCUACUUCUCCGUCCCACUAUUUUCCCCACCACCUCUACACAUGCUCGGGUACCAUCCUCCUCAGACCCUUAUACAACCCACAAUUUCAACCUACAUCCUUUCUUGUGGACUGUAUUUUUAGCUCAGAGAAUAAAGAGGACAGGGGGGCUACCAUUGCCAACCUCAAACCACCUACCCGACAGUCCUACUCCACUAAAAUUUUUUA